GAAAGGUUGCCUUCAAACUAUGGUUAGCUCUCAAUAUCAUCUCCUCUAAGUUUUUUGGCAUCUUGUUCAGUAUAGUUCCUGAAAAUUGAUUUUUCUCCUAGUUUAUGACUACUAAGAUCUUUGACAAUAGAAAAUUACCACAUAGCUUAUUUCUCCACACAUUAAUAUUAUUCCAAAUGUUCCAAGUUUUGCCAACUAAGUGGAAUUGAUCCUGAGAAGGAGUUCUCAGACAAAUUUGCCAACUAUGUGGAAUUAAUCCUGAGAAAGAGUUCUGAGAUAAAUUCACGCGUACAACCAUUGGCGAUAUGGUUGGUAGUUUUCCUGUGAAAUUUCUAAGGUUUGACAAUGUUGAUGGACAAUGAACAAGAUCUUCUCUAUGGUGGUACAACUUUAGAGGCAAGGUAAUUUUAACACUACUGAUGAAUCCAAAGCAUUCAUUAUUGUUGUAUAAUUCAAGAAACCUGGAUUGAAGCAAGGAAAAGGUAAUUUUGUUCUAAACAUGCAUGAACUAUCAUUGAUUCUGCUAAUUUUGUCAUUUAAUUCUCUUUAAAUCAUUAUCCAAAUUGUGAAUUGUCUUAGGUUGCAAAGUCUCAUUUGAUGGUUUCAAGUGUUUUGUCCAGGACCAAAAAUCACUGAAUAUGAUUUUUGUUCUGUUGAAAACUCAGAAGGAUAAUAAGAUCCAGCUUUCAAUGAUAAGAAUGUAUGUGCCUCUAAUAACCUGACCUAAACUAUAGUGUUAUUUGGUUUUAGUCCCUAUAAUUUUUUUUUUGUUUUGGUUUAGUCCCUACAAAUUUAAAAAUUGUUGCUUUUAACCUCUGACAUCCUAUGUGAUCCAAUAUAAUCACGCCAUGUGGCCCAAUAAGCUGAACGUUAUGGACUAAAAAUCAACAGUUUAAAAUUUAAAGCGACUGAAUCCAAACCAAAAAAUUUACAAGGAUUAAAACCAAAAAUUUCUAUAAUUGUAGGGACUAAAAUCGUAUUUAAACAUAUUUGAGAAUGAUCAGAGAAAUGGCCUUUUCUUUCAUUAGUUUACUGUUUCAUGCAAACCAUGAAAACUGCUUAAGCAUAUUAUCUAGAAAAUUUAUUAAUCUACUAAAUUUUCAUGUUUCAAAAUUGUAAGUUUUUUGAGCUUUGGGGCUUUCCCUAACCUCGACGAUCUUCUGAAACCUAACUCACCUAGCAUCAAAAGGAAUUGUAAAAGACAAAUCAUGAAAAUUAAUAAUAGACCUAUAACCAAUUGCAAACACAAAAUAUUCACAAAUCUCUCUGCAUCAUUAACUAAUAAUAUCCACAAAUAUAUAACCCUACACUUUUGUGCAAGGAGGAGUGUUUAGUAUUUUACUUAUAGAAUAUGAACUCUUAGCCUAAUGCCUUAAAGAAGAAUUUGGUGUCCACAAUAAAGUCUCAAAUAAAGGUAUUAGAUUCAAAAACUUCUAAUAUACAUGACAUGACAAUGAAAGAAACAAUGCAUUAUUAAAACUAAAAGUAGCAAAUAUGUUCUUCUUCAAAAGAGUACAAAAGGGAAUAUAAAUAAUACAUUAUGUAUUUUACAGAUAUCUUGAAAGAGCAUAAAGGGGAGUAAUUACAAGAAUGACCAUGUAACUCAAAUCCUUGAAGGGAUAAGAGGAAUAUUGUUCUGUAAGUAUGCACUGGCAGCAGCAACUCCACUUCCAAGCUUGACUGGAUAACCCACAUCUUUGAGUAUCAUCUCCACACCAGCAAGACAUCCCAACAGUUGCAACUGAAAAAUGUUUAAAGAAUUAACAAUUUCAAUGGCGUAAUGCUUUUGUAAUAAUUUGAUAUUACCUAACAGAAUAAACAUUAUCUAGCAUACUUGAAAGAACGGGACCUUGAUGAUAUGCUCAUCAAACCUAUGAAACACAGACACAGACACCAGAUACAACACUGAUAUGUCAUAUGUAGACAUCGGUAAUGAUUUAAGAAAAGACGCCAGCAAUUUAAAGUAUCGUGCUAUUCAGCACCGGACAAUGUGUUUUGUCGCACUAUUAUAUUAUCCAUGAAUAUGCUAAUCAGCUAUGAAACACCUACACAAACACCAAACACAUACUGGCACCGACACAUAAACUCUGGGAAAUCAACAUUACCUCAUUCAAGUUGCCAAGAUGACCAAUUCUGAAAACCUUUCCAGCAACUUUGUUUAGUCCCAAACCUAAGCUCAAAUUGUAUCUCUUCCACCCCCUUCUAACGAUUUCAGCACCGUCAAUGUAAGGAGGAACAACAACAGCUGUCACAGUGUCACUGAACCACUCUUCCUCUUGAGUGCAGUUCUUCAAGCCCCAUGCCUCCACAGCAAGUCUGUAUUUAGCAUAUUGUCAAUCGCAUAUCAUGAAAAUAACAUUUUGUUCAAAUUUUGCUAUCUUAUAACCUUUAUUUGACAACACUUUGUAAAAUAUCGUAUUGCAAAACAAUAGUAAUUUGUUCAAAUUCUCCUACGUGAUAGGAGCUAUUUGACAAAACUGAUUUUGCUCUCUUGUAAAAAAUUAGCAUUUUCUUGUUGAAGUGCUUGACAAGAAAAUUAUGUCUUACCUGGUUGCUUUACCUAAACGAGCAUGUCUUUCGAUAAUAUUUUCAAGUCCUUCCUCGAAAAUCAGAUCAAGAGCUGCUCUAAGACCAUAGAGAAGCUGAAUGGAAGGAGUGUAAGGCCAAUAAGUUCCCAUUUUGUAGAAUUUCAGGUAGUCACUCCAAUCAAAGAAAACUCUAAGUGAUUUAGCAGAUUUUGAAGCUUCAAUAGCUUUAGGACUUGCAACCACAAAUCCUAUCCCAGUAGGAAGGGAAAGGGCUUUCUGAGAACCAGUUAUGGCCACAUCUACUCCCCAUUCGUCCAUACGGAAAUCAAGAGCACAGAUGGACGACACUCCAUCGACAAGGAGGAGGGCUGGAUGUUGGUAUGCAUCUGAGUGUCCAAACUACAAUGUGAGUGCCAUUUCAUAAAGACAAUAUAAGUAAAGAAAAAACAAGAACAUCGAAAAUCCAAAGGUUUGGUGACUGCAAAAUCAUUUUAUACAUUUUUUCAUCAAAGAAUAACAAAUUUUGUGGUUAUGCAAGUUCUGUAGGAUCCAUGAGUGUAAGGAUUUUUCUUGCUUACCAAGAAUUUGUCUAACUUUGGCCAAGUUAUUGGUGACGCCAGUUGCUGUCUCAUUGUGAACAAUGCAAAUAGCCUUUAUAGUGUGUGCAGAGUCUGAAGCAAGUUUUGAUUCCAGAACGUCGAGAUCAGCACCACGGCCCCAUUCACUUUCCACAACAUCAACAUUAAAUUUAAGGCGUUGCUGCUGAUCAAUCCAAAGCAAACUGAAUUGGC
rnacentral:lncRNA from 1 species